rnacentral:rRNA from 1 species
AGUGAACGCUGGCGGUAGGCCUAACACAUGCAAGUCGAACGGCAGCACAGCAAGAGCUUGCUCUUACGGGUGGCGAGUGGCGGACGGGUGAGGAAUACAUCGGAAUCUACUUUUUCGUGGGGGAUAACGUAGGGAAACUUACGCUAAUACCGCAUACGACCUACGGGUGAAAGCAGGGGAUCUUCGGACCUUGCGCGAUUGAAUGAGCCGAUGUCGGAUUAGCUAGUUGGCGGGGUAAAGGCCCACCAAGGCGACGAUCCGUAGCUGGUCUGAGAGGAUGAUCAGCCACACUGGAACUGAGACACGGUCCAGACUCCUACGGGAGGCAGCAGUGGGGAAUAUUGGACAAUGGGCGCAAGCCUGAUCCAGCCAUACCGCGUGGGUGAAGAAGGCCUGCGGGUUGUAAAGCCCUUUUGUUGGGAAAGAAAAGCAGCAGGUUAAUACCCCGCUGUUCUGACGGUACCCAAAGAAUAAGCACCGGCUAACUUCGG